rnacentral:rRNA from 1 species
UACGUAGGGUGCAAGCGUUAAUCGGAAUUACUGGGCGUAAAGCGUGCGCAGGCGGUUUCGUAAGUCUGAUGUGAAAUCCCCGGGCUUAACCUGGGAAUUGCAUUGGAGACUGCGAGGCUAGAAUCUGGCAGAGGGGGGUAGAAUUCCACGUGUAGCAGUGAAAUGCGUAGAGAUGUGGAGGAACACCGAUGGCGAAGGCAGCCCCCUGGGCUAACACUGACGCUCAUGCACGGAAAGCGUGGGGAGCAAACAGG